rfam:Glycine soja cultivar W05 scaffold2837_91, whole genome shotgun sequence.
GAUCUAUUAGUUUAAUUGGUUAGAACAUUAUGUUAAUAACUUAAAAGUUAUAAAUUCAAUUCCUGUAUGGGCCA